CCCAGUUGGUAAGAAGGCAUGGCUGCGGUUGAUGGAUUAAGUUUAAGGCCUGUUUAUGGCCAUAUCCUUUUUUUUAUUAUUUUGGUAUUCAUGAUCUCAUGACAGUCCCUACACCUGUGUCCGAUCACAGGGUCUGAUAUCUGGCCACAUGGAAAGCACCUCCAUAGUUUUAGUAAUUGCAUCACCUCUGAGAUAUGUGGAUACAAAUUUAGAUUCCUGACUGCCAGGCAGAGAGGGGCUCGCAUCAGGCUAGAAGGCCUUGUAUAUCACUCCAUGAUGGAUGAGCCAGUGUAGAGGAAUUCUCUGUGGUUCAUACUAAAACAAUACUUUGCAUUGAGUCACUGCCCCAACUUGAACCUUGAAGUCAUUCAUGCUGCUCACAAUGACAACCAUUAGUGUUUAACUCAAAAUGGGGGUUGUUUGGUGUAAAGGUACACUAAAUAAUUACUCUUUUAGUCUUGCAACUGAUGCAACUGAUACCUGUUUGCAUGGAUGCAGCAAACAUUUUAAUUUUUUAUGCCAUUGUAAGGGUUCCUGCAAUUUUUGACCAGUGAAGUACAGCCUAAGUAUUUGUAAAACCGUUUUGGGUAGGAUUUCCAUUUUUAUGUUAGGUACUCAUUGGUAUUAAUAUAAAUUUGAUUAACGCGUGUGCUAUGUUGAAAAUCCUUUACCUAAUUUGGUGUUUUUGGCUUUUUUAAGUUCCUUUUAAAUAUCUCAUUAUGCUAUAUCACCAAAUAUUGGAUUCAAUCUGUUUGUCAACUUUUCUCUUCCAAUUAGCACAGGUUUUGUAUUUCUUUCUGGAACUGAUUGAUUAUAGGCCUCAUUGAUCUGAGCUUAUGCACCUCAGUAUUUUUAUUUUAUUUAUUUAUUUUUUAGGUAAAUAAGCAUGAGUGUACUUUUUUCACUUGUGACCUGUAAUAAUUGAAAGAAAACAAGUUGGUCCAAUAUUUAGUGAUAAUAUAGCAUAACGAGAUUUAUAAGCAAUUUUUGUGGUGUUCCCAGUCAAUUUACAAGUGUAACAAGAUAAAAAACAAAACUCAAAACAAAACAAAAAAAACCAAAAGCACAAAAAUUAUCAACUUUUGGGAAGUUGUUAUAGCCUGUUUGUGCAAAGUCAGUAAGUUUUAGGGUACGUUUGCACAACAACAACGUAUUAAAAACGCAAUCAUUAUUCCUUUGUGCUUUUUGCAUACAGACAACAACAUUGUCAAAAUGAUCCCCGUUCACACGGAUUCACGAAAACAACUAAAAUCGCUGUAUUCUGCUGCCAGGCCAGUAGUUGGCGAUGUCAAUUUGUAAAGAAAUGCUAUGCACCUAUAUACUGAAGAUGUAAUUCACAAAUUUGUGUUUUUGUAGUUUACAGGGAGACAAUAACGGUAUUGUUUUCAAAAGCUUGCACUUUGAAAUCCGUUUUCAAAAGUUUGCAUUUUCAGGCCCCCAAAACGCCGUAAAUGAAUGGCCAAAACGCAAAAAAAAGUUUUCCAUUUUUAGUUGAAAACUGUGUUGUGUAAAUGUCCCCUUUGUCCAAUGCGAUAAAAUUAACUAGAAUUUUUGAGGAAAAGAACAUUCUCUUAAUGUAAGGGAUAAUUAAUAUAAUAUAUAUUUAAUGUAAUUUGCUUUAAUAUACUGCAAUUAAUAUUUUAAAUAAUUAUUCUUACAACUGCACAAAUGUGAAAAAAAAAAAAAAAAAAAAUCAUGAGAUUUGAUUACAGUUUGGUGGAGGACUUUUUUUGAGCCAUAGCUGAAACAAUCAUUUUCUGACUCUUAAUUUGUAUUUCUUGUUUUGUUCCUGCUUCCUUUGUUCCCCGUUUUCCGCUUCUGCCCUCAGUUUAGCUCUCCUUUCUGUACCGUAUUGUCUUUAGUUAAGUGAAGCUGUUAUGUUGAUUCUCGCCUGCUGAAUAACCUUCUUUGUUUUUGUUUUAUAAAUAAAAGUAAAUCUGUUGCAUUUUCUUUAAUUGUGAAACUUUUUUUUUUGUUUUUUUUUAAUCUUAUAUCAUGUUGUUUAAGGGUUAAUGCACAAAAAAGUGAAACUAUAAUGAAUGAAUAUAGUGCAGAUGCUCCAUGUUACUGCUUUUCCCCCCUUUUUUUUUUUUUUCUAUUUUAUAGCUUGACUGGCCAACAUUCUUCAAAACAUUUUUUUAUUACUAUUAUUCCAUAGAAGAAAGUAAAUCAUAUGAGUUUCAAGCAACAUGAGGGUGAAUAAAUGACAAUGUUUUCAUUUUUGUAUGAACUAUUACUUUACAUCCUCUGUAAACUACUUAGUUCUCGGGAUCAUCUCUUUUACGUUAAGGGCAACUGAUAUUGUACGUGUUACUUGGCAGUAAUGGGUGAAUUUACAGCAGAACAGUGAUGGAGAAAAAACACAAUGCCAAAUUAGAUGUAAGAAAGAUACAUGUAUCAAAAGAAAAAUAAACUUUAGUAUGUAAUUACUUAUGCCAGUUUGUGCUGCUAGGGUGAUCUGAGAUGAACUGAGAUAAGUAGCAAAGAUUAUUCCUGCUAAAAUGUGAAAAUGCACAAGGAAUACUUAUUGAUUCUGCACCAGAACUUGGUAUCUAAUGUCUUUGAGGGCUCAGGGUCAUUGCACAACCUGAUGCUUUAGAAAAAAAAGUAAGGGAAGAGGGGGGAGGAGUAUGGCAACUGUCAUCACAAACAAGAAACAUCUGUCUCAUUUGUGUAACUUGUUUUCUUUUAAUAUGAGAAGUAUGUUGGUAGAGAUCUGUGAGUUUUGAGGAAGGCCUGGGAGGAGAGAGGAACGCGUGUUUCACUCCUGGAAUCAUUCUUCUCUGCAGACUCAUCUCCUCCGACGUGAAGUCUAUUAUUUCUGCAAUCUGUUUGAGCAGCCUGACUGGGAUGGACACAACAACAUUAGUUCAGCCAAUAGCGUGAGUUUGAGGUGGGAAUAUCUAUUUGUUUUAAAGGGGGGGUGGUUGAUUAAGAUUUCACUUUUUUAACUUUAGUUAGUGUGUAAUGUUGCUGUUAGAGCAUAAACAACAUCUGCAAAGUUACGACGCUCAAAGUUCAAUGCGAAGAGAGAUAUUUUCUUUUACAGAAAUCACUUUUUAAGGACUACAACAAACGGCUGGUAGGGACUACAGCAAGCUUCUUCCCAGGUUAGUGACAUCACUAACCCUAAAAUUUACAUAAACCCUGCCCUCAGGAACACGCAACAAAGGGGGUGAGGCCAUGUUGGGCUGCUUUAGAGAAGAGGAAGAGUUGUUGUAGUAGAGUGUUGUUACCAUGCCAUCAUUUUACGCCGGACUGCUUCACAAACAAGGGUCAAUUCAAUGCUGGAUUUGCACAAAAGAUUAACAAGGCGGCACAUGCUAAUGGAUGAGUUGAAUCAACUCCACAGCAACUACAUAAAUUUAUCCACUAACCAUUUAGAAACGUCCAGUUUCAUUCUAAAAGUUGUAACUUCUUCCUGAGUCUCUCCAUCAGUGUCCGACUCCGGUUUGAACAAUGUAAGGCUGAACACCGUUACUGACAAUCCUCAUUUUGGCUGCGUGAGAUUCUCCAGCUUUGUUUUUGUUGAGCAACCGAAGUGCGAGCUGUUAAAGCUCUGCCCUCUUUUGGAAAGCAGGCCAGGAGCAGCAGCUCAUUUGCAUUUAAAGGGACACACACAAAAACGGAGUGUUUUUGCUCACACCCAAAUAGGGGCAAAUUUGACAAACUAUAAUAAAUGAUCUGUGGGGUAUUUUGAGCUGAAGCUUCACAGACACAUUCUGGGGACACCAGAGACGUAUAUUACAUCUUUCUACAAAAUAUUAAGCAGCACUACUGUUUUCAACAUUGCAAAAUAAUAAUAAUAAAUGUUUCUUGAGCAGGAAAUCAGCACAUUAGAAUGAUUUCUGAAGGAUCAUGUGACACUGAAGACUGGAGAAAUGAUGCUGAAAAACUGAGCUUUGAUCACAGGAAUAAAUUACAUUUUAAAAUAUAUUACCAUAGAAAACAGUUACUUAAAAUUGUAAUUAUAUUUCACAAUAUUACUGUUUUUAUUUUUGAUCAAAUAAAUGCAGCCUUGUUUCAAAAAAGGUAGUGUGUAUUUCAUGAUACAGGUAUUUUUUUUUUUUUUUUUGGUACUUAAUACAAGCUGUUGGGCAACAGCUCAGCAAAGAGGUGCUUACGAAAGUCAUCUCUGGGGCCGCUUUGUUGCAGCACCAAACCACAUUUAUGCAUGUCCGACAACCUUCAUUCCUGUCAUUAUUCCAUGAAUAGUUUCUAUAAAUAUUUAUUGUUCUUGGCGUGAUGGCAUGACUCUCUGAGUUCAGCCUAGACCGUGUCACUAGGCAGCUGCCGGACUGGAACUGUCCUGAUCCCUAAACCAUUACAUGGGUCUGUUAAACAGAAUAGAGAAGAAAGAUGCCGUUGGUAAUCUUGCUGAAUUUUUCUGAGAAUUUCUGUCGUAGUAGGUGUGGUUAACCUGAUGAUUUCAUAUUGACCUUGUACAUUACCGUUCAAAAGUUUGGGGUCAGUAAGAUUUUUUUUCUUUUAAAGAAUUCUCUUCUGCUCACCAAGAUUGCAUUUAUUUUAUUAGAAAUACAAUAAAACCAGUAAUAUUGUAAAAUAUUAUUUCAAUUUAAAAAUAAAAUUUUAAUGAAAUAAAAAAAAAUGUUUAAGAUGUUUAUAUAUAUAUAUAUAUAGUAUAAAAUGUAAAUGUGAUAGAAAAGUUUUAGCAUCAUUACUCCAGUCUUCAAUGUCACAUGAUCUUUCAGAAAUCAUUCUAUUUGCUGCUCAAGAAACAAUUCUUAUUAUUAUUAAUAUCAGUAUUAAUUAAUAAUGUGUCCUUGAUGAAUAAAAUAUUAAUUUCUUCUUCGAAAAUUUAAAAAAUAAAUAAAUAAAAAAUUCUUUCUGACUCCAAACUUUUGAAUGGAAGUGUAACUUAAAUCAAUGUUUCAGGUUUAGUACAAGGCAUAACAUAUUGUUGAUGACCACAAAAAAUAAUUUAAACUCAUCUUGUUUUCAGUAAAAAUAGCAAAAAAUGGAGGUUAUGGUGAGGCACUUACAGUUGAAGAUAAUGGGGCAAAUGAUUUAAAAGUAGAAAUUAAGUUUAUCAUUGUAUAAAAGCGCUUGCAUUGGUUCCUGAUUAACUUAUAAAAGUAUUAUUUAAGCUGUAUAGCGGUUGAAAUCAUAAUUUAUACAGUUGUUUUAUGGUUUAUAUUACCUUGUCAUGGCAACAAAGUUAAAUGCAGAAAAGGUUAGUAAACUGAGCUUAACUUGUAUUGAGCCCGUGAUAUUUCUUUAAUAUCAACAGUGGCAAGACUGCAAAACCAAACUUUACAAAAUGUAGAGUUUUAUCCUAAAGUGUGAAACCCAUCAAACAAGACUAUUAAACUAUAGUAAAGACCAUUAAACUAUAGUACCCUGCUAAAAAGACCAGAUUGGUCAGCAUGGUCUUUUUGGUGAAGCUAGUUAACUAACGAUGUUUGUUCCAUUGCAAAGAGCAAUAAGCACAAGCACGAAGAUUUCAGUUUUUGACACAGCAUAUAUUUCAAUUUAACAUACAUUCAUAUGAAAUAUAGUCCUCUUCAGUGUAUAAGUCUUUACAAACCUAUGUUUCUUUUAAAAGCAUACUGGAUAGCAAGUUGUACUAUAGAAAAGCUUGGAGUUAUGGUAUCGUACAUAGUCGCCAUAAAUAAUUCAGUCACUCAGUCUGACUAAUGGAGCAGGGAAUGCUGGGGGAUUUGUUUAUUUGUGAUAUGUGCGUCUGGAGAGGAAAAGUGCUAGAGUCAUCGUGCACAGAAUCCAUGGUCCAAGCAUCCCAAGCGGGUAAACAAUUUAUGUUUGUCAGUUUUGUGCCAGAUGCAUGGUUACAGCUCAGCACCAAUGAUCUGUCUGCGUCACUAGCUACAACUUUCAAAGCGCUCCUUUUGAACAGCUUGUUAACACUUGUAAUAAUUCCAAUCCGUCUUGUUCGGAGUUGGUUUGCAUCCCUUCUAAAGCAGAACUCACUUGAAGGGUAGGGACACACCAAACCGAUGCCAAAGAACUAGCACUGAUAAAAGCCGACUGUGUUGUCGCCUCACGUCGGGGGAAAAACCUGCACAUGAGAGAGAACUAGAGCCGACUGUCAGCCAGCACGCGUGUUCUGCGCCUGCGUGUAAGGAGACCACUGUCUAAACAAAGCAGCGCAUGCUUACCAUUUUGAAUAUCAUUCAUGCUGAUCACUUUCUAUAUUCCACUCGGCUCACGUUAAUAUUAAAUAUUCGCCCAGGACGCUCGUAACACUCGGUACAUGACGUAAAAUUAGAACAACCUUCUGUCUGUACCGCCUUGACUUGUUUGUUCACUGUUUUGCUAUUAUUCUCGUGCUUUGACUUGUUCAUUGCCAAUCAGAGUUCUCUCUCUCACACGACGGCCCAACACCGAUUCUACAUGAUGAAUCGGCCCAAAAAAACCCAGACGGCCAGUGUUGGGAAGUCAGCAGUUUUCCCGCAACACUGUUGCCGCGGGUUGUUUUUCAUGUCCGCGGGUUGAAACGCCCCCAAAUAAUAUGAUAUUUAGCCCCUGGAAUGCGAAUUUUACCAGGGGAACUCUGCCAAGAACACAGAUUUUACCCCCUUGAACGCGAUUGGGCUAGUUUUGGGCUAGUUUUGAGUAGCAAUUGGGUGGGUUUUGUUGUGAAAACCUGGCAACCCUGCCGAUGGUGUCUGACCAGAGCCAACGGUUCAGAACACACCGGGAAAACAAUCGGCCGACACUUAAAAACGGUCUGGCCAGUGUUGCCAAGUCCGCAGUUUUCCCGCAACACUGUUGCCGUGGGUUGUUUUUCAUGUCCACGGGUUGAAGCGACCCCAAAUAACAUGAUAUUUAGCCCCUAAAAUGUGAAUUUUACCAGGGGAAACCCACCAAAAAUGCAGAAUUUUACCCCCCUGAAACGCCACUGGGCUAGUUUUGGGCUAGUUUUGAGUAGCAAUUGGGUGGAUUUUGUUGUGAAAACCUGGCAACCCUGCCAACGGCGUCCGAAUAGAGCCAACGGUUCAGAACACACUAGGAAAACUUAGUCGGCCGAUGCUUAAAAACGGUCCAGCCAGUGUUGCCAAGUCCGCAGUUUUCCCACAACACUGUUGCCGCGGGUUGUUUUUCAUGUCCACGGGUUGAAGCGACCCCAAAUAACAUGAUAUUUAGCCCCUGGAAUGCGAAUUUUACUAGGGGAAGCCCACCAAAAACACGGAUUUUACCCCCCUGAAAUGCUUUUGGGCUAGUUUUGAGUAGCAAUUGGGCGGGUUUUGUUGUGAAAACCUGGCAAACCUGCUGAUGGCGCCCGGCUAGAGCCAACGGUUCAUAACACACCUAGAAAACUUAGUCAGUCGACGCUUAAAAAAGCUCCGACGUUGCCUGAUUGCCGAUCGUCUGCUUGGUGUGUCCCGGGCUUAACAGUAUCGGUGAGUGAUUCUUGAAUUCAAGCAGCAUCAUAGGAACAAAUGGCCACGGGUAUGGAAAGUACAUGUACGCCUGGACUGCAUCUCAGCACGUAGUGUUUGAUAGUUCGGUUAAUCCAUCUUUCAAGAUGAAACCCUAAAGCAGCAUUAACGAUGAAAAGGCUUUUAAACGUUGACCUCUCUCCAUAUUCAUGUGCCCCUGAUCCCGCCGGGUCAAUGUCUGUCAGUAACCCCACUCCCAAUGGCACUCCUCUGGUGCGCGUCACAUUAAAAAUUCACUCUCUAUUCGAUUGCAAUAAGUUAAAAAAUAUACAUAUAUAUAAAAAUAAGAGAGCAACUGCAAUUAAAAACAGAAUGAGGAGAGAGAAAAAUACUCUCAAUUGGGACGUCAGAUAUAUUUGCCCCUAUAUUUUAAAGUCUCAUGUAUGACAUGUUCCUCUAUUGGUGCAUGAAAUGCCUGGGAAUGUCUCUGUCUUCCCUUUUGUGUAUUUGCCUAGUUUCCCUGUGCAUGUAGGGAAGUGUUGAGGGGA